CGGGAGGAUCCCAAGCGUUAUCCGGAAUCAUUGGGUUUAAAGGGUCCGUAGGCGGGUUUAUAAGUCAGUGGUGAAAGCCCAUCGCUCAACGAUGGAACGGCCAUUGAUACUGUAGAUCUUGAAUUAUUAGGAAGUAACUAGAAUAUGUAGUGUAGCGGUGAAAUGCUUAGAGAUUACAUGGAAUACCAAUUGCGAAGGCAGGUUACUACUAAUGGAUUGACGCUGAUGGACGAAAGCGUGGGUAGCGAACAGGACUAGAUACCCUGGUAGUCCACGCCGUAAACGAUGGAUACUAGCUGUUCGGAGCAAUCUGAGUGGCUAAGCGAAAGUGAUAAGUAUCCCACCUGGGGAGUACGUUCGCAAGAAUG
rnacentral:rRNA from 1 species